GCGAAAAUAGCUCAAUUGGUAGAGCAUUACCCUUCCAAGGUAAAUGUUGCGGGUUCGAGUCCCGCUUUUCGCU
rnacentral:tRNA from 1 species